GAGAGAGGCACCUGCCUGCGCUGCCCUGGGCCCACACCAGCACUAGUCAUCACAACGAAAUGUAGAAGCGACCCUUUGACAGACGUGAAUGGGUGAGAUGUGGCCUAUACCUCCAUGCGAUUCAGCCUCAAAGGUUCAGGACAAAGGAAGGGAUUUCUGACACCCGCUAUGUGGCCGGACCUGGAGGACGUUAUGGAAAGUGAAAUGAGCCAGUUGCAAGAAAUUAAGUCCUGCAAAUUCCACUCAUGUGAGAAUUCUGGAAGACUUGAGUGGUUGUGACACGGACCAUAUGGCCAGCAAAGCCUGGAGUAAUCGCUCUCCGGCCCUUCGCAGAAGCUGUGUGCCUACCCCAGACGAAGGAAAACCGCCUCGUGGUUCUUGCUCUGCUCCUCACCGUGGACAAAUCAUCCCACCUUGCUGGCACUCGGGCUUCCCAUCUGAAAAAGAUGUGCUGUUUGGAUACAGGGGUGUUGGAGUCGUCUACCGUCUCUAAAAAUCGGGCGAGUCUGGGAAAGCAGUUCG